AGCAGCCGCGGUAAUUCCAGCUCCAAUAGCGUAUAUUAAAGUUGUUGCAGUUAAAAGCUCGUAGUUGAAUUUCGGGACCAAUUUGUUGGUCGUGCCUCGGUACGUACUGGUAUUAUUGGUUUCUCCCUUCUGAAGAAUCUCGAUGCCAUUAAUUUGGUGUCGUGGGGAAUCAGGACUGUUACUUUGAAAAAUUGAGUGUUUAAAGCAAGCAUACGCUUGAAUACAUUAGCAUGGAAUAAUGAAAUAGGACGUUUGAUUCUAUUUUGUUGGUUUUAGGAUCGACGUAAUGAUUAGUAGGGAUAGUUGGGGGCAUUAGUAUUCAAUUGUCAGAGGUGAAAAUUCUUGGAUUUAUUGAAGACUAACUACUGCGAAAGCAUUUGCCAAGGAUGUUUUCAUUAAUCAAGAACGAAAGUUAGGGAUCGAAGACGAUCAGAUACCGUCGUAGUCUUA
rnacentral:rRNA from 1 species